rnacentral:rRNA from 1 species
AAAGAUUAAGCCAUGCAUGUCUAAGUAUAAGCAACUUGUACAGUGAAACUGCGAAUGGCUCAUUAAAUCAGUUAUCGUUUAUUUGAUAAUCCCUUACUACAUGGAUACCUGUGGUAAUUCUAGAGCUAAUACAUGCUUCAAGGAGUGGCUUUCGUCACUCUGCACUUAUUAGAUAAAAAACCAAUGCCCCUUUGGGGCUCCCUGGUGAUUCAUAAUAAUUUAGCGGACCGCAUUCCCUCGAGGAGGCGGUGGAUCAUUCAAAUUUCUGCCCUAUCAACUUUCGAUGGUAGGAUAGUGGCCUACCAUGGUUU